rnacentral:rRNA from 1 species
CCGAGUGGUUUCUGCUAAAGAAACCUUUUGUCAGUCCUAGAAACACUAACGAAUAAGGGGUGGGCAAGUUCUGGUGUCAGCCGCCGCGGUAAAACCAGCACCUCAAGUGGUCAGGAUGAUUAUUGGGCCUAAAGCACCCGUAGCUCGUUUUGUAAGUUUUCGGUUAAAUCCAUGCGCUUAACGUAUGGGCUGCCGGGAAUACUGCAUAACUAGGAAGUGGGAGAGGUAGACGGUACUCGGUAGGAAGGGGUAAAAUCCUUUGAUCUAUUGAUGACCACCUGUGGCGAAGGCGGUCUACCAGAACACGUUCGACGGUGAGGGAUGAAAGCUGGGGGAGCAAACCGGAUUAGAUACCCGGGUAGUCCCAGCUGUAAACUAUGCAAACUCAGUGAUGCAUUGGCUUGUGGCCAAUGCAGUGCUGCAGGGAAGCCGUUAAGUUUGCCGCCUGGGAAGUACGUACGCAAGUAUGAAACUUAAAGGAAUUGGCGGGGGAGCACCACAAGGGGUGAAGCCUGCGGUUCAAUUGGAGUCAACGCCAGAAAUCUUACCCGGAGAGACAGCAGAAUGAAGGUCAAGCUGAAGACUUUACCAGACAAGCUGAGAGGUGGUGCAUGGCCGUCGCCAGCUCGUGCCGUGAGAUGUCCUGUUAAGUCAGGUAACGAGCGAGAUCCCUGCCUCUAGUUGCCACCAUUACUCUCAGGAGUAGUGGGGCGAAUUAGCGGGACCGCCGCAGUUAAUGCGGAGGAAGGAGGGGGCCACGGCAGGUCAGUAUGCCCCGAAACUCUGGGGCCACACGCGGGCUGCAAUGGUAAGGACAAUGGGUUUCAAUCCCGAAAGGGGGAGGUAAUCCGUAAACCUUACCACAGUUAUGAUUGAGGGCUGAAACUCGCCCUCAUGAAUAUGGAAUCCCUAGUAACCGCGUGUCAUCAUCGCGCGGUGAAUACGUCCCUG